rnacentral:misc_RNA from 1 species
GAUGAAGAACGUAGCGAAAUGCGAUAAGUAGUGUGAAUUGCAGAAUCCGUGAGUCAUCGAAUCUUUGAACGCACAUUGCGCCCUCUGGUAUUCCGGAGGGCAUGCCUGUUCGAGCGUCAUUAUCACCCCUCAAGCCCGGCUUGUUGUUGGAUGCAGCACUUAUCCCGCUCCUCCCAAAGAUAAUGACGGCGUCUGCGACGACUCCUGUACACUGAGCUUUCGGGCACGUACACGGCUAGAAGUCCAGACCCGGUCGCCGUCCCCCCCGCGGGGACACCCAUUACCACAAGGUUGACCUCGGAUCAGGUAGGAAUACCCGCUGAACUUAAGCAUAUCAAUAAGCGGAGGA